AAAGUGAACUUUGUGGGCUGUUCCCUCUGUAGGGCAGGUGAUAGUCCCAGCUACAGUGAUGGGAAAAAUGGUUAAAAGGGAGCCCCAAAAGCUGGAAAUCCUCCUGGAGGCUCUUGGCCAGCAGAGUUUCCUGAGUUCGCCCUGCAAGAAGGACAGUGAUAGCUUUUGAGUGCUGGUAGAUCCUUUUAAUAGAUAGCCUUGAGUGUGUCCUUGUUGCACCAGUAGGCCGUGUCAAACUCCCUAUAUUCCAGGAGAUAUACAUAUUGAAUUUUAAACUGAUCUUCAUAAUCCUUCAUAAUCCUGAGGCUCUCCCCUGCAGGAACUCCAGGAACUCCUGGUGCCGCCUGGGCCGAUGGAUUGGACGCCCCAGCCCCUCCGUUCCUGCCCAGCCACUGGGUCCGUGUCCAGUGGUGGCACUGCCAGCCCUGCAGUGGGAUGUAGCCUGGAAAGUGCACAGAACUGAGCCAAGGGAGUGAAAGGGAGCAACCAAGGGAGGUGAACAAAGAAGGAAGAAGGGAAGUGAGGCAGCAGGCAAGCAGCAGCAAGUUGCUGUGUAAGCAGGUUCCCCUCUCGUCACAGGCUGCAGCAAAAGCAGGAGUAGAGCAUCCCUUUGGUCUCGCCCCAGCAGUGUGUGCAGGAGAACAUCAGGAACAUUGGGGACCAUACAGGUCAGUCUUGCCCCAGCAGUGUGUGCAGGAGAACAUCAGGAACACUGAGGACCAUACAGGUCAGGUGUCCAAUUGUGCAAGGCUCUCUGACUGCACGUGUUGGAAUUCCUGGCCAUGCCCUGUCUCCACAAAGAAGAAAUUCCUUUCGGAAGACUGUGGGGUUUGGUCAGACUGACUGAAUGGUUUCCACUCCUGUGUCGUUGCACCACAGUGACUCAUUUCUAUACGUGUCACCGUAGGCGUUGUUCCCUGCUUCUCAUGGCUUGUCCAGGAGAUGGAAUUCCAGUGCUACACAAUAGAUGGCUCGUGGUGCUCCCAAAAGGAGCCUUUCUGUCUUCAGGGCAAGUUCUGGUGCCCCUGGAGCUGUUGGGAGAAGCAAAGGGGUGGCAGUGAGAGGCCUGGAAUGAUGUUGCUGUAGCACAGACAUUGUUCCCUGGCAGGUUCCUGGCUUGGAUUCCUUGGCUGCCACUUGGCAAGGCCUGGCAGGGCCUCAGUUGUGUAGGGAACCAAACAUGGAAUGGGAAAGCAAAGGGGGGGAGGUUCUGGUUUCAGAAGGG